CACGGUAGGGCGCAAGCGUUGUCCGGAAUUAUUGGGCGUAAAGAGCUCGUAGGCGGUCUGUUGCGUCUGCUGUGAAAACUCGGGGCUUAACCCCGAGCCUGCAGUGGAUACGGGCAGACUAGAGGUAGGUAGGGGAGAAUGGAAUUCCCGGUGUAGCGGUGAAAUGCGCAGAUAUCGGGAGGAACGACCGGUGGCGAAGGCGGUUCUCUGGGCCUGACCUGACGCUGAGGAGCGAAAGCGUGGGGAGCGAACAGG
rnacentral:rRNA from 1 species